GUCUCACAAUUGGACAAUCCUGUCCUAAAGGCCUUCUUAAACAUAGGCACUGCUGAGGGUGUGGACAGAUCUCAGGUCUGGGUUUAGUACAACCAAAAUCAGCUUACUCAGAUCAAGCUGGCUGAGACCACUUCCAAGCAUAUUCCACACAUGGAUGUAUAAGGAAUCCAUUGGCAGAAUGGGAUCAAUGCAUUCCUGCCUUCAUUUGAGCAUCGAAAAUAUAUUGAAAAUGCCUUCAAGAGCAGCAGACUAGAACAUCACCUGUGCACAAAAUAAUUUAAUCUCUCCUUGGCACAUGGAGCAACUCUUCUUAUUUAGGCAGCUGUAGCUGUACCUGCACAGAUUGCUCCUGAGAGAAGCUUGGGUGGUCCUGGCUGAGUGCAAGAGGCAGCUGAGGGGUGCAGUGAGUGUGACACAGAGCUG